AGGGAAUCUUCGGCAAUGGGGGCAACCCUGACCGAGCAACGCCGCGUGAGUGAAGAAGGUUUUCGGAUCGUAAAGCUCUGUUGUAAGUCAAGAACGGGUGUGAGAGUGGAAAGUUCACACUGUGACGGUAGCUUACCAGAAAGGGACGGCUAACUACGUGCCAGCAGCCGCGGUAAUACGUAGGUCCCGAGCGUUGUCCGGAUUUAUUGGGCGUAAAGCGAGCGCAGGCGGUUUGAUAAGUCUGAAGUUAAAGGCUGUGGCUCAACCAUAGUUCGCUUUGGAAACUGUCAAACUUGAGUGCAGAAGGGGAGAGUGGAAUUCCAUGUGUAGCGGUGAAAUGCGUAGAUAUAUGGAGGAACACCGGUGGCGAAAGCGGCUCUCUGGUCUGUAACUGACGCUGAGGCUCGAAAGCGUGGGGAGCGAACAGGAUUAGAUACCCUGGUAGUCCACGCCGUAAACGAUGAGUGCUAGGUGUUGGAUCCUUUCCGGGAUUCAGUGCCGCAGCUACGCAUUAAGCACUCCGCCUGGGGAGUACGACCGCAAGGUUGAAACUCUAAAGUGAAUUGAC
rnacentral:rRNA from 1 species